GCAUUUUCCUAGAAUCUUGUUAGAACAAAGCCUUCAGUGAAGGUUUGAAGACGCUCACCCGAAACUCGGUGAGCUAACCAUAAGCGGGUUAAAUUUAGGGUAAUACCUAGUGGAGGACCGAACCCUUUCUUUAUAUAAAGUAAAGGAUUGCUUUGUUGGAUGACUUGUGGUUAGGAGUGAAAAGCUUAUCGAACUCUCCUAAUUAGGACUAGCGCAAGAGUUAUAAUAAGUGGGGAUAGAGCACUGAAUAGAGAAGGGUUCCUAACCGGGUACCACCUCUAAUCAAACUCCGAAUACCCCUUUCAGUGUCGCGAGGGAAACCUCCUUUAUAUUGCUUCUCCUUAUAGUAGCCCAAAUAGGCCUUACCUUAACCGAUAUUCUAUGAAGCAAGCAUCAUUUACAAGCUGCACAAUCUACUCGAUCAUUCCCGGUUACCCACGACAAGCGCUGUCAGGCCCACCUUCUUAGCUACCUUAGCCCAGUUCUUUAUCCUUAAAGUGGAACCCCGGAAAGUUUAUCCGCCAAUGGAAUCAGUAGCUACCAAUAACUGUUCUUUCUCCUUCCUACUACCAGAAAGUGAUUAAAGGCCUUCAUAAGCUUCUCUUUGAAGAGAAGUCUUUGCCUUAGAGUCUCGAUAUGAGAAAGAAGAGGAAGAAUCAUAAAUAAAAGGGGGAUGAUCCCCUCCGGCCUGCCCUGCCGGUUGAUUCAGUUGAAAAAGCCUUUCAUUUGCAAGAUGAAGCACCAGACCUAUAUAUAGCUGCUUUUAGGCCCCACGCAAAAGUAAUUAAUCUCCUGCCGCGGAAGAAUAAGAAGAAUCUCUUGCAUUGGACGAAGUGGAUACAGAUGGGUGCACUGACAUGGGAAAAGGUCUGUCAGCUUAAGUCAAGAAGGCUUUGUUCCUCCCUUCUUCCUUUCCUUGGGCUAUAAAUUGGUUGUGCUAAAAGAAAUCCCCCUACUCGCCGAAGGAAGAGGCAUCUCAUGCCAUGGUUCUUGUUCAAGAAUAGGCAGUUAUUUCAUCUGCUGGUAUAGAAUAGGUUGUUAGUGGGAUUUUCGAGUGCUAUUAUCGUAUAAUAAAAGAAAGCAAAGGAACGCACGGCUUUGCCGGUGAGCUUAUAAAAAUCUCCCCUUGAAGACGCGAACGGCUUAGCAUCUUAAUUUCAUACUCUCUUUACGAACGGUGUUAGCUCCGAAAUCAGAUCCUCUUCCGACUUCGACUUCCGGGAUUUAUCCUUGUGAGCUUUCAACUGAAAGACAGGAAAGCCCUUAGAAUAAGGUAAGCGACUUGCCUUACCUAUACCAGUAUCAAGAAUCGGAAUUCAUCUCGGAAGGAUGGAAAUCUUAUCCGUUUUGGUCUAAUGUGGAAGUGUUACGAUUUAGUCUAAGAAAUGGGCUUGGACUAUCGUCCUGAAGUGUUGCCUUCCUUUGAGCCCCUUUUAGGGGGUUAUCUUCUUGACGGGUAUACUGGCACAGACUUCUUAGUCUCUUUACAGGGUUUGGAUGACCCUGUGAGGGAGGGGUCGUUGUCUAAAAAGCAACGUACUCUAGAUCGGCCAUCUACAUAAGGUAAGGUAGCGUAUAGCUUAGCUAAUAGCUUCGCUACCUCACUCACGAGCUCUUUCUCAGCCCAAGGUGCUGGGUAUUUAUCCUAACGAGUGCAUUCAGUUUCAUGUCCCAUUGAAAGGACAAUCGGCGAGAUUGAAGUUCCUUUCUUUUUUCUAGGCUAAACCUUCCCUAAGCCUAAUCCCUAAUCAAGCAAAGUUUUUGUCAGGAAAGUGUUCGAGGCGGAUUCCAUAGCAACAGAGUCGUGAAAAGAGCUAAAAGCAGCCUUUCUAAAUAAAUAGUAAAACACGCAUGGAUGCUAGGAAUGAAGCCUGCCAAUGUCCCUUACAAGAAUAUCAUUAGUAGAAGAGGAUACCCACAUCUACGGCCAUUAGUUCGAUUCCCGGUUAUCUUUCUUCUAGCUUUUAGUUCUUCCUUUAAAUAAAGAUGUCCUACGUCCCCCUGUUAGUUUUGGUCCUGCCCCGUACUCAUCAAUCGCUUUGUCGGAACUCUUCCCUUACUUCAUCUCGCUUCGAUAGUAUGGCAUUCUUUAGUAACAAGCUGUAGUAACAAGAGUCACAAGGCUUGUUCAAAGAAAAACCACGUCCAGCGUGAAGAAAAAGAUUAGAAUAUAGUGCAAUCAAAGCAUGUUUAUCAUGGCACAAACCCUCUUCUAAAGAAAGAGAGGGAAGGCCAUGAAAGUCUUGCAUCUCACAUCACGUGGAAAGAAAGGAUGCUGACAAAGCUUGCUGCAAAGGAGGCUGCUGUUGAAGCGCUCAUCUUCUCGUACAUUGAAGUAACCAAUUCAGGUACUUCACGCAGCUGGUCAAUGUUGGCUCGUUCUGCCUCCGGUCUAUGGUCCAUCGAUCGAAGGGAUAUGAGUUCAGUUAGUAAUCCGUUUACGUACGGUGGGUGGGUAAGCUGGAGGGGACCCCGGUGGUAAGAAUAGGCUAAUUCCUGUUCCUUGAAUAGGCCAAAUGGGAGUCUCAAAGCUAAGAACUACCUGUUUCAGGCGUUAGAUCGUUCCAUUUUGGAGACUAUCGUCAACAAAGACACGUCAAAGAGUAUUUAGGACUCUAUGAAGCAGAAAUAUCAAGGAACAACGCGAGUAAAGCGUGCUCAUCUACAGGCAUUGCGAAAGGAGUAUGAAAUUGCUCACAUGAAGGAAGGAGAAUCUGUGAAUGAGUACAUUGCUCGUGUUCUUGUCAUCACCAACAAGAUGAAAGCCAAUGGUGAAGAAUUGAAAGAUGUUGCUGUUGUGGAAAAGAUUCUGAGGUCAAUGACACCUAAGUUCAAUUAUGUCGUCUGUUCAAUAGAAGAAUCUAAUGAUACAAGAAUUUUGUCAAUUGAUGAGCUGCAAAGCAGUUUGCUCGUGCACGAACAACGCAUGAGUAACACUAUACAUGAAGAACGUGCACUGAAGGUGACCCAUGGAAACCAAUAUGCAGGACAAGGAAGAGGACGUGGGAACAUGGAGUGCAAAGACAAACAGGAAAGAGUAUUGCAGAGGAAAGAAAGAAGGUGGAAGGAAUUCUCUGUCUAUUGAAUGAGAAAUAUUUAGGCUAUAUAUAGCCGUACAAAACAAACAGAAAAUACAAUAAAUAAGGAGUCUCCUGCUAACUAACUCCUAAACCGAAAGACCUAUUCUAAAGCAAAGAAUCCCAAAUGGAAUGGGAUUUUAUUUGACUAAAUCUAACAAUUCCUCUCUUAAACUAAAUGCUGAAAGAAUUUAGUUUAUACUGCUCUCUGCACAAACUCCAAGCAUAGUACGCAGCUUCAGAAAAGCAUCCAACUUAAGAGGCUUUGUCAUCACAUCAGCUAUCUGUUCCAAAGUAUUGCAAUGAACUAAUUCUAUCAUACCUAUCUGUGCAAGUUCUCGAAGGAAAUGGAAACGAACAUCUAUAUGCUUGCUACGACCAUGCAUAACUGGGUUUCUUGAGAGCUCGAUUGCAGAGCUAUUGUCACAAUGGAUAGUAUUUUUCUCUUGUUGAGUCUGAUCCAGCGUUUUGAGCACUCUUUUUAACCAAAUUGCUUGACAAGCACAAGCAGUAGCAGCAAUAAACUCAGCUUCGGUGGUAGACAGACUCACAAUAGGUUGUUUCUUAGAAGACCAUGAUACAGCUCCAGAACCAAAGAGAAAAACAUAGCCUGAUGUACUUCUUCUAUCAUCCAAGUCACCCGCAUAAUCACUAUCAGUGUAUGCUAUAAGAUCAUCAUUUCCUCCCUUCUUAUAGAAAAUUCCAUACUCAGUUGUUCCUUGCAAAUAUCUCAACACUCUCUUUGCUAGUUGUAAAUGAAGCUGAGUAGGAUUCUCCAUAUAUCUGCUCAAAAGACUUACUGCAAACAUCACAUCUGGACGAGUCGCAGUCAGAUACAUAAGACAGCCUACCAGUUGUUUGAAGUGAGUCUUGUCCACCUUAAUUCCUUCUUCAUCCUUGCAAAGCUUGAAACCAGGAACCAUGGGAGUUUGAACAGAUUUGCUUUGAUUCAUUUCAAAACGUUGCAACACCUCCUGAGCAUACUUUCUUUGACCGAUAAAAAUUCCACCUGAUUUCUGCAAGACUUCGAGACCCAAAAAAUAUUUCAUUUUACCAAGAUCAGUCAUAUCAAACUCAUUCUUCAUCGAGUUCUUAAACUCAGUGAACAUCAACUCAUCAUUUCCUGUGAAAAGAAGAUCGUCAACAUAUAUACUUACAAUAAGCAUGCUGCCUCCAUGUUUCGUUUAACAAAAAGGGUAUGCUCAUAAUCACAUUUUUGAAAACCUUCCUUCAUGAAGUAUGUUUCAAUACGGUUGUACCAAGCACGCGGAGCCUGUUUAAGCCCAUACAGAGCUUUCUUCAGCUUGUACACCUUUUCCUUCUUUCCCUCUUGAAUGUAACCACACGGCUGCUCAACAAAAACAUCUUCAACUAGUUCUCCAUGUAAAAAAGCAGACUUCACAUCUAAUUGAUGGAUAGCCCACCCUUUUUGUGCUGCUAGAGCGAUCACCAAACGAACAGUCUCCAUACGGGCCACUGGAGCAAACACUUCUGUGUAAUCUACACCAUAUCGCUGUGCAUAUCCUUUUACAACCAGCCUCGUCUUCAGGAUGAAAGAAGCAGCCGUAGCAUGAAAGAAAAAAGAAGUAGGGAGCGGGUGCUGGAUUCAUUUUGAUCAGUCCGGAUGGGCACGAGCUCACCUAUGCACUCCGUUUUGAGUUCAAAGCCUCAAACAACGAAGCGGAGUAUGAAGCGCUCAUUGCCGGACUGAAAUUGGCCUUGAAAAUGGGGGUAACCAAGUUACGGGCUUACAGUGACUCUCAGCUCGUAGUAAAUCAAGUAAUGGGGGGCUACGCAGCAAAAGACCUCAUGAUGAAAAGGUACCUCCAAAAAGUUCAAGAUUUGAUGGCUGAGUUUGAAGAAUUUACCAUAGACCGCAUUCCCCGAUCUCAGAAUAAAAGGGCAGACGCCCUGAGCAAGCUAGCCUCCUCUGCCUACGCACACUUGACAAGGAAAGUUUUGGUGAAAGUUCUGGCAGGGCGGAGUAUUAUUGAUGAACAUCAUGUUAACAUAAUUUCAUAAGAAGAAAAGAACUGGAUGAACCUCUUUAUUGAGUAUCUCAGUUCGGGUAAGUUGCCUGAGGCAAGGAAAAUGAAAAUCAAAGCUCCUAUGUACGUGCUGAAAAAUGGUGUUUUGUACAAGAAAUCUUAUCUCAUGCCUUGGCUAAGGUGUGUUGGGCUGAGGCUGGCAGAAUACGUGUUGAAAGAAAUUCACUUCGGCUCCUGCGGAGACCAUGUUGGAGCACGCAUGUUAGCAAAGAAGGCUAUUCGGCUUGGGUAUUACAGGCCGACCAUGUACAGAGAUGCGUAUGAGCUGGUGUUAAAAUGUGAAAAGUGCCAAGUGCAUGCACCCAUCAAGCAUGUGCCGCAAAUGGAGCUGAUUACUAUUCAAAGUGUCGGGUCGGGUCUCAGGUUCAAAAGCAGAAGACUGGUCGUAGGGACAAAGCUUCUACUUAAACAUCAAGUCGGUCUUGAUAUGAAGGGGAUAUAUCUAUGCUCAGGUGAUCCAUCAAAUCGGCCAGUGUUUUCCCUUUUACUUCCUUUCGGGGUACGUAUUGUAUAGAAAAAAAGUACCAACGUCCACUUUCCUACUCACCCUUUGGUCUGGACAACAUGUACUUAAUUAUUUCUGAACUAGAGACCAAGUAAACGUAAAGGCUGUGAAGGGAAUGGAUAGGCAUAGGUCAGAUUAGAUGUCUUGGCUACAUAUGGGAAAGGAACUGGGUAUGGGUGCUAUUGCUGAGUCUGAUAUACUGGUGCUCUUUGGCUUGGUUGGAUUGAUUGAGGCUUACUGCUUGAAAUGGGACGAGGCCUUCUUCUAGCCUGUCUAUCGUGAUUGACCUACUGCACCUCUCCUUCUCUCUUAUUCCCAUAAGUGGACUUCUUGGAGGCUUCUGUCGAGCUAUCAGCAAUUUGACUGCUCUUCACACCUUGCUCAAUCUUCUCUUCUCUCCGAUCAUCACAAGGGCAGCAAAAUGUGUGGAAAGAUUGCCAACCAUGCGAUCGUAGAAAGGAGAAGGGAGAGUAGUGAGAAAGGUGGCCACCAUCUCUUUUUCAGUCAAGGGAGGCAGGACUUGGGCAGCCAUUUCUAUCCAUCCUUGGGCAUCUUCUUUUAAAAUCUCCGUGCUCUUCUUCUCCAUGCUUUGAAGCCCCAUGCCAUCAGGAGCCGUAUCAAGAUUGUACUUGUACUGCUUGAGGUGAGGAAAGCAUCAGCAAGAUGCUUCCAUUUGCGGACAUGAGAGCGGUCCUGCUCCAUCUACCAUUUGGACGCAACGCCCGUGAGGCUGUCUUUUAUAAUAGAUACUUCAGCGGGUCCAUCCUUGCAAUCAGCAUGGUCGUAUAGUUCAACAUGUAGUGGUAUAGGCCUUUCGAGGCCCAUGUAAGAGCUAAACAGGUAUUUUCUAGAACCUUAUACCUUGCCUCAUAAUCAGUGAACUUCUUGUUGAGAUAGUAUAUGGCUCUUUCUUUCCUACCCGUUUCAUCGUGCUGACCAAGGGCACAACUCAUGGAUGCUUCCUUCACUGACAGAUACAUCAGGAGAGGUCGACCAGGCGUUAGCGGAUGGGAGGAUUGACAGUUAUGCUCAAGUCUUUCAUUAAGAUGUACCGCUAGGGAACUCUUUACCUUUUGAUAUAAGAGAAGACGCUUUCGGGCUAACUAAGGCCGAGGUGUCUCGCGGAAUCUUCAAUAAGGCGAUAGAAGGCAUUUUCCUAGAAUCUUGUUAGAACAAAGCCUUCAGUGAAGGUUUGAAGACGCUCACCCGAAACUCGGUGAGCUAACCAUAAGCGGGUUAAAUUUAGGGUAAUACCUAGUGGAGGACCGAACCCUUUCUUUAUAUAAAGUAAAGGAUUGCUUUGUUGGAUGACUUGUGGUUAGGAGUGAAAAGCUUAUCGAACUCUCCUAAUUAGGACUAGCGCAAGAGUUAUAAUAAGUGGGGAUAGAGCACUGAAUAGAGAAGGGUUCCUAACCGGGUACCACCUCUAAUCAAACUCCGAAUACCCCUUUCAGUGUCGCGAGGGAAACCUCCUUUAUAUUGCUUCUCCUUAUAGUAGCCCAAAUAGGCCUUACCUUAACCGAUAUUCUAUGAAGCAAGCAUCAUUUACAAGCUGCACAAUCUACUCGAUCAUUCCCGGUUACCCACGACAAGCGCUGUCAGGCCCACCUUCUUAGCUACCUUAGCCCAGUUCUUUAUCCUUAAAGUGGAACCCCGGAAAGUUUAUCCGCCAAUGGAAUCAGUAGCUACCAAUAACUGUUCUUUCUCCUUCCUACUACCAGAAAGUGAUUAAAGGCCUUCAUAAGCUUCUCUUUGAAGAGAAGUCUUUGCCUUAGAGUCUCGAUAUGAGAAAGAAGAGGAAGAAUCAUAAAUAAAAGGGGGAUGAUCCCCUCCAGCCUGCCCUGCCGGUUGAUUCAGUUGAAAAAGCCUUUCAUUUGCAAGAUGAAGCACCAGACCUAUAUAUAGCUGCUUUUAGGCCCCACGCAAAAGUAAUUAAUCUCCUGCCGCGGAAGAAUAAGAAGAAUCUCUUGCAUUGGACGAAGUGGAUACAGAUGGGUGCACUGACAUGGGAAAAGGUCUGUCAGCUUAAGUCAAGAAGGCUUUGUUCCUCCCUUCUUCCUUUCCUUGGGCUAUAAAUUGGUUGUGCUAAAAGAAAUCCCCCUACUCGCCGAAGGAAGAGGCAUCUCAUGCCAUGGUUCUUGUUCAAGAAUAAGCAGUUAUUUCAUCUGCUGGUAUAGAAUAGGUUGUUAGUGGGAUUUUCGAGUGCUAUUAUCGUAUAAUAAAAGAAAGCAAAGGAACGCACGGCUUUGCCGGUGAGCUUAUAAAAAUCUCCCCUUGAAGACGCGAACGGCUUAGCAUCUUAAUUUCAUACUCUCUUUACGAACGGUGUUAGCUCCGAAAUCAGAUCCUCUUCCGACUUCGACUUCCGGGAUUUAUCCUUGUGAGCUUUCAACUGAAAGACAGGAAAGCCCUUAGAAUAAGGUAAGCGACUUGCCUUACCUAUACCAGUAUCAAGAAUCGGAAUUCAUCUCGGAAGGAUGGAAAUCUUAUCCGUUUUGGUCUAAUGUGGAAGUGUUACGAUUUAGUCUAAGAAAUGGGCUUGGACUAUCGUCCUGAAGUGUUGCCUUCCUUUGAGCCCCUUUUAGGGGGUUAUCUUCUUGACGGGUAUACUGGCACAGACUUCUUAGUCUCUUUACAGGGUUUGGAUGACCCUGUGAGGGAGGGGUCGUUGUCUAAAAAGCAACGUACUCUAGAUCGGCCAUCUACAUAAGGUAAGGUAGCGUAUAGCUUAGCUAAUAGCUUCGCUACCUCACUCACGAGCUCUUUCUCAGCCCAAGGUGCUGGGUAUUUAUCCUAACGAGUGCAUUCAGUUUCAUGUCCCAUUGAAAGGACAAUCGGCGAGAUUGAAGUUCCUUUCUUUUUUCUAGGCUAAACCUUCCCUAAGCCUAAUCCCUAAUCAAGCAAAGUUUUUGUCAGGAAAGUGUUCGAGGCGGAUUCCAUAGCAACAGAGUCGUGAAAAGAGCUAAAAGCAGCCUUUCUAAAUAAAUAGUAAAACACGCAUGGAUGCUAGGAAUGAAGCCUGCCAAUGUCCCUUACAAGAAUAUCAUUAGUAGAAGAGGAUACCCACAUCUACGGCCAUUAGUUCGAUUCCCGGUUAUCUUUCUUCUAGCUUUUAGUUCUUCCUUUAAAUAAAGAUGUCCUACGUCCCCCUGUUAGUUUUGGUCCUGCCCCGUACUCAUCAAUCGCUUUGUCGGAACUCUUCCCUUACUUCAUCUCGCUUCGAUAGUAUGGCAUUCUUUAGUAACAAGCUGUAGUAACAAGAGUCACAAGGCUUGUUCAAAGAAAAACCACGUCCAGCGUGAAGAAAAAGAUUAGAAUAUAGUGCAAUCAAAGCAUGUUUAUCAUGGCACAAACCCUCUUCUAAAGAAAGAGAGGGAAGGCCAUGAAAGUCUUGCAUCUCACAUCACGUGGAAAGAAAGGAUGCUGACAAAGCUUGCUGCAAAGGAGGCUGCUGUUGAAGCGCUCAUCUUCUCGUACAUUGAAGUAACCAAUUCAGGUACUUCACGCAGCUGGUCAAUGUUGGCUCGUUCUGCCUCCGGUCUAUGGUCCAUCGAUCGAAGGGAUAUGAGUUCAGUUAGUAAUCCGUUUACGUACGGUGGGUGGGUAAGCUGGAGGGGACCCCGGUGGUAAGAAUAGGCUAAUUCCUGUUCCUUGAAUAGGCCAAAUGGGAGUCUCAAAGCUAAGAACUACCUGUUUCAGGCGUUAGAUCGUUCCAUUUUGGAGACUAUCGUCAACAAAGACACGUCAAAGAGUAUUUAGGACUCUAUGAAGCAGAAAUAUCAAGGAACAACGCGAGUAAAGCGUGCUCAUCUACAGGCAUUGCGAAAGGAGUAUGAAAUUGCUCACAUGAAGGAAGGAGAAUCUGUGAAUGAGUACAUUGCUCGUGUUCUUGUCAUCACCAACAAGAUGAAAGCCAAUGGUGAAGAAUUGAAAGAUGUUGCUGUUGUGGAAAAGAUUCUGAGGUCAAUGACACCUAAGUUCAAUUAUGUCGUCUGUUCAAUAGAAGAAUCUAAUGAUACAAGAAUUUUGUCAAUUGAUGAGCUGCAAAGCAGUUUGCUCGUGCACGAACAACGCAUGAGUAACACUAUACAUGAAGAACGUGCACUGAAGGUGACCCAUGGAAACCAAUAUGCAGGACAAGGAAGAGGACGUGGGAACAUGGAGUGCAAAGACAAACAGGAAAGAGUAUUGCAGAGGAAAGAAAGAAGGUGGAAGGAAUUCUCUGUCUAUUGAAUGAGAAAUAUUUAGGCUAUAUAUAGCCGUACAAAACAAACAGAAAAUACAAUAAAUAAGGAGUCUCCUGCUAACUAACUCCUAAACCGAAAGACCUAUUCUAAAGCAAAGAAUCCCAAAUGGAAUGGGAUUUUAUUUGACUAAAUCUAACAAUUCCUCUCUUAAACUAAAUGCUGAAAGAAUUUAGUUUAUACUGCUCUCUGCACAAACUCCAAGCAUAGUACGCAGCUUCAGAAAAGCAUCCAACUUAAGAGGCUUUGUCAUCACAUCAGCUAUCUGUUCCAAAGUAUUGCAAUGAACUAAUUCUAUCAUACCUAUCUGUGCAAGUUCUCGAAGGAAAUGGAAACGAACAUCUAUAUGCUUGCUACGACCAUGCAUAACUGGGUUUCUUGAGAGCUCGAUUGCAGAGCUAUUGUCACAAUGGAUAGUAUUUUUCUCUUGUUGAGUCUGAUCCAGCGUUUUGAGCACUCUUUUUAACCAAAUUGCUUGACAAGCACAAGCAGUAGCAGCAAUAAACUCAGCUUCGGUGGUAGACAGACUCACAAUAGGUUGUUUCUUAGAAGACCAUGAUACAGCUCCAGAACCAAAGAGAAAAACAUAGCCUGAUGUACUUCUUCUAUCAUCCAAGUCACCCGCAUAAUCACUAUCAGUGUAUGCUAUAAGAUCAUCAUUUCCUCCCUUCUUAUAGAAAAUUCCAUACUCAGUUGUUCCUUGCAAAUAUCUCAACACUCUCUUUGCUAGUUGUAAAUGAAGCUGAGUAGGAUUCUCCAUAUAUCUGCUCAAAAGACUUACUGCAAACAUCACAUCUGGACGAGUCGCAGUCAGAUACAUAAGACAGCCUACCAGUUGUUUGAAGUGAGUCUUGUCCACCUUAAUUCCUUCUUCAUCCUUGCAAAGCUUGAAACCAGGAACCAUGGGAGUUUGAACAGAUUUGCUUUGAUUCAUUUCAAAACGUUGCAACACCUCCUGAGCAUACUUUCUUUGACCGAUAAAAAUUCCACCUGAUUUCUGCAAGACUUCGAGACCCAAAAAAUAUUUCAUUUUACCAAGAUCAGUCAUAUCAAACUCAUUCUUCAUCGAGUUCUUAAACUCAGUGAACAUCAACUCAUCAUUUCCUGUGAAAAGAAGAUCGUCAACAUAUAUACUUACAAUAAGCAUGCUGCCUCCAUGUUUCGUUUAACAAAAAGGGUAUGCUCAUAAUCACAUUUUUGAAAACCUUCCUUCAUGAAGUAUGUUUCAAUACGGUUGUACCAAGCACGCGGAGCCUGUUUAAGCCCAUACAGAGCUUUCUUCAGCUUGUACACCUUUUCCUUCUUUCCCUCUUGAAUGUAACCACACGGCUGCUCAACAAAAACAUCUUCAACUAGUUCUCCAUGUAAAAAAGCAGACUUCACAUCUAAUUGAUGGAUAGCCCACCCUUUUUGUGCUGCUAGAGCGAUCACCAAACGAACAGUCUCCAUACGGGCCACUGGAGCAAACACUUCUGUGUAAUCUACACCAUAUCGCUGUGCAUAUCCUUUUACAACCAGCCUCGUCUUCAGGAUGAAAGAAGCAGCCGUAGCAUGAAAGAAAAAAGAAGUAGGGAGCGGGUGCUGGAUUCAUUUUGAUCAGUCCGGAUGGGCACGAGCUCACCUAUGCACUCCGUUUUGAGUUCAAAGCCUCAAACAACGAAGCGGAGUAUGAAGCGCUCAUUGCCGGACUGAAAUUGGCCUUGAAAAUGGGGGUAACCAAGUUACGGGCUUACAGUGACUCUCAGCUCGUAGUAAAUCAAGUAAUGGGGGGCUACGCAGCAAAAGACCUCAUGAUGAAAAGGUACCUCCAAAAAGUUCAAGAUUUGAUGGCUGAGUUUGAAGAAUUUACCAUAGACCGCAUUCCCCGAUCUCAGAAUAAAAGGGCAGACGCCCUGAGCAAGCUAGCCUCCUCUGCCUACGCACACUUGACAAGGAAAGUUUUGGUGAAAGUUCUGGCAGGGCGGAGUAUUAUUGAUGAACAUCAUGUUAACAUAAUUUCAUAAGAAGAAAAGAACUGGAUGAACCUCUUUAUUGAGUAUCUCAGUUCGGGUAAGUUGCCUGAGGCAAGGAAAAUGAAAAUCAAAGCUCCUAUGUACGUGCUGAAAAAUGGUGUUUUGUACAAGAAAUCUUAUCUCAUGCCUUGGCUAAGGUGUGUUGGGCUGAGGCUGGCAGAAUACGUGUUGAAAGAAAUUCACUUCGGCUCCUGCGGAGACCAUGUUGGAGCACGCAUGUUAGCAAAGAAGGCUAUUCGGCUUGGGUAUUACAGGCCGACCAUGUACAGAGAUGCGUAUGAGCUGGUGUUAAAAUGUGAAAAGUGCCAAGUGCAUGCACCCAUCAAGCAUGUGCCGCAAAUGGAGCUGAUUACUAUUCAAAGUGUCGGGUCGGGUCUCAGGUUCAAAAGCAGAAGACUGGUCGUAGGGACAAAGCUUCUACUUAAACAUCAAGUCGGUCUUGAUAUGAAGGGGAUAUAUCUAUGCUCAGGUGAUCCAUCAAAUCGGCCAGUGUUUUCCCUUUUACUUCCUUUCGGGGUACGUAUUGUAUAGAAAAAAAGUACCAACGUCCACUUUCCUACUCACCCUUUGGUCUGGACAACAUGUACUUAAUUAUUUCUGAACUAGAGACCAAGUAAACGUAAAGGCUGUGAAGGGAAUGGAUAGGCAUAGGUCAGAUUAGAUGUCUUGGCUACAUAUGGGAAAGGAACUGGGUAUGGGUGCUAUUGCUGAGUCUGAUAUACUGGUGCUCUUUGGCUUGGUUGGAUUGAUUGAGGCUUACUGCUUGAAAUGGGACGAGGCCUUCUUCUAGCCUGUCUAUCGUGAUUGACCUACUGCACCUCUCCUUCUCUCUUAUUCCCAUAAGUGGACUUCUUGGAGGCUUCUGUCGAGCUAUCAGCAAUUUGACUGCUCUUCACACCUUGCUCAAUCUUCUCUUCUCUCCGAUCAUCACAAGGGCAGCAAAAUGUGUGGAAAGAUUGCCAACCAUGCGAUCGUAGAAAGGAGAAGGGAGAGUAGUGAGAAAGGUGGCCACCAUCUCUUUUUCAGUCAAGGGAGGCAGGACUUGGGCAGCCAUUUCUAUCCAUCCUUGGGCAUCUUCUUUUAAAAUCUCCGUGCUCUUCUUCUCCAUGCUUUGAAGCCCCAUGCCAUCAGGAGCCGUAUCAAGAUUGUACUUGUACUGCUUGAGGUGAGGAAAGCAUCAGCAAGAUGCUUCCAUUUGCGGACAUGAGAGCGGUCCUGCUCCAUCUACCAUUUGGACGCAACGCCCGUGAGGCUGUCUUUUAUAAUAGAUACUUCAGCGGGUCCAUCCUUGCAAUCAGCAUGGUCGUAUAGUUCAACAUGUAGUGGUAUAGGCCUUUCGAGGCCCAUGUAAGAGCUAAACAGGUAUUUUCUAGAACCUUAUACCUUGCCUCAUAAUCAGUGAACUUCUUGUUGAGAUAGUAUAUGGCUCUUUCUUUCCUACCCGUUUCAUCGUGCUGACCAAGGGCACAACUCAUGGAUGCUUCCUUCACUGACAGAUACAUCAGGAGAGGUCGACCAGGCGUUAGCGGAUGGGAGGAUUGACAGUUAUGCUCAAGUCUUUCAUUAAGAUGUACCGCUAGGGAACUCUUUACCUUUUGAUAUAAGAGAAGACGCUUUCGGGCUAACUAAGGCCGAGGUGUCUCGCGGAAUCUUCAAUAAGGCGAUAGAAGGCAUUUUCCUAGAAUCUUGUUAGAACAAAGCCUUCAGUGAAGGUUUGAAGACGCUCACCCGAAACUCGGUGAGCUAACCAUAAGCGGGUUAAAUUUAGGGUAAUACCUAGUGGAGGACCGAACCCUUUCUUUAUAUAAAGUAAAGGAUUGCUUUGUUGGAUGACUUGUGGUUAGGAGUGAAAAGCUUAUCGAACUCUCCUAAUUAGGACUAGCGCAAGAGUUAUAAUAAGUGGGGAUAGAGCACUGAAUAGAGAAGGGUUCCUAACCGGGUACCACCUCUAAUCAAACUCCGAAUACCCCUUUCAGUGUCGCGAGGGAAACCUCCUUUAUAUUGCUUCUCCUUAUAGUAGCCCAAAUAGGCCUUACCUUAACCGAUAUUCUAUGAAGCAAGCAUCAUUUACAAGCUGCACAAUCUACUCGAUCAUUCCCGGUUACCCACGACAAGCGCUGUCAGGCCCACCUUCUUAGCUACCUUAGCCCAGUUCUUUAUCCUUAAAGUGGAACCCCGGAAAGUUUAUCCGCCAAUGGAAUCAGUAGCUACCAAUAACUGUUCUUUCUCCUUCCUACUACCAGAAAGUGAUUAAAGGCCUUCAUAAGCUUCUCUUUGAAGAGAAGUCUUUGCCUUAGAGUCUCGAUAUGAGAAAGAAGAGGAAGAAUCAUAAAUAAAAGGGGGAUGAUCCCCUCCAGCCUGCCCUGCCGGUUGAUUCAGUUGAAAAAGCCUUUCAUUUGCAAGAUGAAGCACCAGACCUAUAUAUAGCUGCUUUUAGGCCCCACGCAAAAGUAAUUAAUCUCCUGCCGCGGAAGAAUAAGAAGAAUCUCUUGCAUUGGACGAAGUGGAUACAGAUGGGUGCACUGACAUGGGAAAAGGUCUGUCAGCUUAAGUCAAGAAGGCUUUGUUCCUCCCUUCUUCCUUUCCUUGGGCUAUAAAUUGGUUGUGCUAAAAGAAAUCCCCCUACUCGCCGAAGGAAGAGGCAUCUCAUGCCAUGGUUCUUGUUCAAGAAUAAGCAGUUAUUUCAUCUGCUGGUAUAGAAUAGGUUGUUAGUGGGAUUUUCGAGUGCUAUUAUCGUAUAAUAAAAGAAAGCAAAGGAACGCACGGCUUUGCCGGUGAGCUUAUAAAAAUCUCCCCUUGAAGACGCGAACGGCUUAGCAUCUUAAUUUCAUACUCUCUUUACGAACGGUGUUAGCUCCGAAAUCAGAUCCUCUUCCGACUUCGACUUCCGGGAUUUAUCCUUGUGAGCUUUCAACUGAAAGACAGGAAAGCCCUUAGAAUAAGGUAAGCGACUUGCCUUACCUAUACCAGUAUCAAGAAUCGGAAUUCAUCUCGGAAGGAUGGAAAUCUUAUCCGUUUUGGUCUAAUGUGGAAGUGUUACGAUUUAGUCUAAGAAAUGGGCUUGGACUAUCGUCCUGAAGUGUUGCCUUCCUUUGAGCCCCUUUUAGGGGGUUAUCUUCUUGACGGGUAUACUGGCACAGACUUCUUAGUCUCUUUACAGGGUUUGGAUGACCCUGUGAGGGAGGGGUCGUUGUCUAAAAAGCAACGUACUCUAGAUCGGCCAUCUACAUAAGGUAAGGUAGCGUAUAGCUUAGCUAAUAGCUUCGCUACCUCACUCACGAGCUCUUUCUCAGCCCAAGGUGCUGGGUAUUUAUCCUAACGAGUGCAUUCAGUUUCAUGUCCCAUUGAAAGGACAAUCGGCGAGAUUGAAGUUCCUUUCUUUUUUCUAGGCUAAACCUUCCCUAAGCCUAAUCCCUAAUCAAGCAAAGUUUUUGUCAGGAAAGUGUUCGAGGCGGAUUCCAUAGCAACAGAGUCGUGAAAAGAGCUAAAAGCAGCCUUUCUAAAUAAAUAGUAAAACACGCAUGGAUGCUAGGAAUGAAGCCUGCCAAUGUCCCUUACAAGAAUAUCAUUAGUAGAAGAGGAUACCCACAUCUACGGCCAUUAGUUCGAUUCCCGGUUAUCUUUCUUCUAGCUUUUAGUUCUUCCUUUAAAUAAAGAUGUCCUACGUCCCCCUGUUAGUUUUGGUCCUGCCCCGUACUCAUCAAUCGCUUUGUCGGAACUCUUCCCUUACUUCAUCUCGCUUCGAUAGUAUGGCAUUCUUUAGUAACAAGCUGUAGUAACAAGAGUCACAAGGCUUGUUCAAAGAAAAACCACGUCCAGCGUGAAGAAAAAGAUUAGAAUAUAGUGCAAUCAAAGCAUGUUUAUCAUGGCACAAACCCUCUUCUAAAGAAAGAGAGGGAAGGCCAUGAAAGUCUUGCAUCUCACAUCACGUGGAAAGAAAGGAUGCUGACAAAGCUUGCUGCAAAGGAGGCUGCUGUUGAAGCGCUCAUCUUCUCGUACAUUGAAGUAACCAAUUCAGGUACUUCACGCAGCUGGUCAAUGUUGGCUCGUUCUGCCUCCGGUCUAUGGUCCAUCGAUCGAAGGGAUAUGAGUUCAGUUAGUAAUCCGUUUACGUACGGUGGGUGGGUAAGCUGGAGGGGACCCCGGUGGUA
rnacentral:lncRNA from 1 species